UACGGGGGGUGCAAGCGUUAAUCGGAAUUACUGGGCGUAAAGGGUGCGUAGGUGGUUUGGUAAGCUAUCUGUGAAAUCCCCGGGCUUAACCUGGGAAAGUCAGAUAGGACUGCUGAACUCGAGUAUAGGAGAGGGUAGUGGAAUUUCCGGUGUAGCGGUGAAAUGCGUAGAGAUCGGAAGGAACACCAGUGGCGAAGGCGGCUACCUGGCCAAAUACUGACACUGAGGCACGAAAGCGUGGGGAGCAAACAGG
rnacentral:rRNA from 1 species